rnacentral:lncRNA from 1 species
UAUAAUUUGAAUGGCUCAGUUAUCCACUUAUUCUCUUCUUCAUAAACUGCCUCCACAACAGCAGCAAGAACCAUGCGACGCUGAGGGCUCCUGGCUGCUGCAGCAGCUGUGAUAAAGCAGGACCUUGGGAACCAGCAUGGCUUACCUACACCGGGGGUGGCUUGAGAUGAGCUGGACCAGAGUGAAUAGGCUGCAUACAGCUCUGAAGCUUGUUUCAAAAGGAUCCUUUCAGCUGCAGAUCAUUAUGUCAUCCACUCUAAAGAGCUGCCAUUCUGCUCCUGCCCAGCAGCUCUAGGAGAGCUAGGCAAACCUAGUGGGUCUGAGCUGGGAGGUGGCUGAGCAUAUUCCAGUAUUCUCCUAGAGCUUGAGAUAUGUGGUGAGUGUUGUAUGUGCACAAGAACUGGAGAAGGAAACCAGGAGAUGUGUAUUAUAUUUGCAGAAAAAUUGUGAUUGGGAAGACUUCUCAGUAACACUGGUAAGGUGACUGGCUGCUGUGAAGAAAGUGUUUGUAUCCUAUUUUUUAAGUAUCUAAGAAGAUAAUUUUUAUCCUGCCACUAUUUAUGCAAAUGCAACCAAAUUCCCACAGAAAUACUGCUACUGUUUUUUGGGGUUUUGUUUUUUU